rnacentral:sRNA from 2 species
UAAACCUUUGUGCUGAAUCAUUAUUGAACGGGGGAACCAUUACUGAUAAACUUUUAUGUUUAUCUUGGGGUGAAUCUUAACAUAUUAAGGUUAAGAAGGGAUGCUCUCAAUCCCUAAUCCGACAGCUAACUCCGUAAGCGGUAUUGAGAGAAGGG